rnacentral:rRNA from 1 species
CCAAUGUAUGCCCAGUAGCGGCGAGUGAGCGGCAAGAGCUCAGAUUUGAAAUCGUGUUUCGGCACGAGUUGUAGAGUGUAGGCGGGAGUCUCUGUGGAGCGCGGUGUCCAAGUCCCUUGGAACAGGGUGCCUGAGAGGGUGAGAGCCCCGUAGGGUGCUGCGCGAAGCUUUUGAGGCCCUGCUGACGAGUCGAGUUGUUUGGGAAUGCAGCUCCAAGCGGGUGGUAAAUUCCAUCUAAGGCUAAAUAUUGGCGAGAGACCGAUAGCGAACAAGUACUGUGAAGGAAAGAUGAAAAGCACUUUGAAAAGAGAGUGAAACAGCACGUGAAAUUGUUGAAAGGGAAGGGUAUUGGGCUCGACAUGGGGGGUGCGCACCGCUGUCUCUUGUAGGCGGCGCUCUGGGCGCCCUCUGGGCCAGCAUCGGUUCCUGCUGCGGGAGAAGGGGCUCCGGAAAGUGGCUCUUCGGAGUGUUAUAGCCGGGGCCAGAUGCCGCGUGUGGGGACCGAGGACUGCGGCUUCUGUCUCGGAUGCUGGCAUAACGGCGCAAUACCGCCCGUCUU